UACGGAGUGUGCGAGCGUUACUCGGAAUCACUGGGCAUAAAGCGCGCGUAGGCGGGCUGUCAAGUCGGUUGUGAAAUCCCUCAGCUCAACUGAGGAACUGCAUCCGAUACUGUCGGUCUUGAGGACGAGAGGGGAGAGUGGAACUUCUGGUGGAGCGGUGAAAUGCGUAGAUAUCAGAAGGAACGCCGGUGGCGAAAGCGACUCUCUGGCUCGUAACUGACGCUGAGGCGCGAAAGCUUGGGUAGCAAACAGG
rnacentral:rRNA from 1 species